AACUCAGUUUGUUCUGGGUAUAAGCUUUUAUGUGCAUGCACACUUCUUCAGAUACACUGAAACAUAUGUCACCAGACCCUUAUAUAUUCUUCUGUUUCAGUCUAUCUGAAGAAGUGUACAUGCACACAAAAGCUUACACCCAGAACAAACUUAGUUGG
rnacentral:miRNA from 1 species